AGUGAACGCUGGCGGUAGGCCUAACACAUGCAAGUCGAACGGCAGCACAGUAAGAGCUUGCUCUUACGGGUGGCGAGUGGCGGACGGGUGAGGAAUACAUCGGAAUCUACUUUUUCGUGGGGGAUAACGUAGGGAAACUUACGCUAAUACCGCAUACGACCUACGGGUGAAAGCAGGGGAUCUUCGGACCUUGCGCGAUUGAAUGAGCCGAUGUCGGAUUAGCUAGUUGGCGGGGUAAAGGCCCACCAAGGCGACGAUCCGUAGCUGGUCUGAGAGGAUGAUCAGCCACACUGGAACAGAGACACGGUCCAGACUCCUACGGGAGGCAGCAGUGGGGAAUAUUGGACAAUGGGCGCAAGCCUGAUCCAGCAAUACCGCGUGGGUGAAGAAGGCCUUCGGGUUGUAAAGCCCUGUUGUUGGGAAAGAAAAGCAGCAGGUUAAUACCCCGCUGUUCUGACGGUACCCAAAGAAUAAGCACCGGCUAACUUCGUG
rnacentral:rRNA from 1 species